rnacentral:misc_RNA from 1 species
GGUUCUGGUCUAUUUUUUUACGAAAAGUGAAGUUAGAAAAUCCAUUUUUUAAUAUAUUUUAUUAAUAAAGUGCUAUUAUUUGUCUACAUUUAAAAAAAUAAUAAUUGUAAUAAUAUGCAUUUAUAAUCUAACGAAUUAAUGUGAAUUGCAAUACUAUAUUCGCUUGUGUUAAGUUGUUGAAAGUUUUUUUGGUAUUAAGAUUGCUCCAUUUUUUGAGACUCCGCUGGAAAAACAAUAAAAAAUAUUGGCAUAGUAUUAUUAACAAAAAUGUUUUGUUGUGCUGGUAAAAAAAAGAAGAAAGCUUGACAUAAAUGAAAAUAAAUACAAUCAUUUUAAAAAUGAUAUUAAAAAAUAAAUUAUAUUCAAUGCUGAUUUAAAAUAAAAAAUAUUGUUAUUAUUGGAUUUGUGUAUUUGCAUAUGUUGUGCGUAUUUCCAAAUUGUAUCUAGUUGGCUAAACUACUUCAAAAAGAUAAUAACCUUAAAUAAUGGCAGCUGCUGCUGUAGCGGGUGCUGCUGUUUCAGCAAACGAAAUUGAUGAAUUCAUCAAUGGUGCACUUGUUUCGUGGUUGGAAUCCUGCCUCUCUCGGCCAGAAAUUCUUACGGGUUAUUCUUCUCUCCUUGAUGGCCUAAUCAUUCACAGUGUAUGGCUUCAGAUCGACCCGGAACCACAAAAUAAUCCAAGCGAAAUAAAUGAUAACAACGACGUAGCUCUAUGCAUUGCUAGAGCGAAAAAUUUUGAAUGUAUAGUACGAAAUUUAAAAUCAUUAUUUGAAGAUGAAUUUGGACAGACCAUUUUGGUGCUACCAGAUUGUUAUAUACUCGGUUAUCAUCCCGAAACUAAACAGGGUUUGGAACAAAUGAAAAUAUUAUUAACACUACUACUAGGUGCUGCAGUGCAGUGUCCAAAUAAAGAACUUUUUAUUGGUAGAAUAAAAGAAUUGGAUGUGGAAACGCAACAUGCGAUUGUUGAGUUAAUAAAACAGGUCACCGAUAAUCAUAGCUUAGUUCUGACGGAAGAAUCUUUGGAUUUGCUUACGCCUCAGGCCAUGUAUAAUCACAUUUUAAGAUUAACCAAAGAACGUGAUAGCAUGUAUUUAAAGUGGAUUUCAUCGGUGUGUACGGAGCGCGAUAUAUUGAGCACUUCAGGCUGUGGUGACAAUUCUUCCAAUUUGUCAUUAUCGGCUUCGAGUGGACUGACAGCUACACCGAUUUCGUCCACAUCAAAUACAGAAAAUAAUCAUAUGGCAGUUGAAUUGGCAGAUUUAAAAUCAAAACUAAGAAAAUUGCGUCAAGAGCUUGAGGAGAAGUCAGAAGGCCAGUUGGAACUACGCGAAGAACUGGAACACAAAAAUGCUCAGUAUGAAAAACUUCGUUUAGAAAGCCAGGAGUGGUAUUCUGAAGCAAAGCGUGCUUCAGCAUACCGCGAUGAGUUGGAUGUUUUAAGAGAACGCGCCGAAAGAGCAGAUCGUUUAGAAAUAGAACUACAAAAAUUCAAAGAGAAACUUACAGAUUCCGAGUUCUAUAAGACAAGGGUUGAAGAACUUCGCGAAGAUAAUCGAAUGCUUUUAGAGUCAAAGGAAAUGCUAGAAGAACAAUUGCAACGAUGGCGCAAAAGAUCGGAACAUGUUAUGACUUUGGAGUCAGAAAUCAUUAAAUAUAAACAAAAGCUGAAUGAUAUGGCACUAGAAAGAGACUCUGAUCGUUCUAGAUUAGAGGAAUUAAUAGAAGAGAAUACCCAACUACAAUUGGUUGCCAAGAAUCUUAAUAGUACUUUAGACAUGGACAAGUCAUUUUCUGAUAAUGACGAAGAGUGUAAUUCGGGUGACAAUAGUUUAUCUGAACAAUUGACAAAUAAUGCUCAGACACGUGCAUUAAAAUUAGAGCUAGAAAAUCGGCGGCUCACGGCUGCACUAGAUCAACUUAAAGAAUCUUCUUUCCACGAAUCCACCAAUAAAAUGUUAGAAUUGGAGAAAGAAAAGAAGAAAUUAAGUUUAAAAAUUGAACAGAUGCAAGACAAUAUUCAACGUCUAUCUCAACAAAACAUUGAACUAGAAAAUGUAUUCAAAGAUGCGCUAGAGGAAAAUAAGAAAAUGCAAAUAACUUUAGAUCAGCGUCAAAAGGCCUACGAUAAACAAAGUCAAGAACGUGAGGUAGAGCGCACGAAAAUAUCUGAUUUAGAAAAACAUGUAGAAACACUGAAUAAGGAAAAACAACGUAUUCAGACACUUAACGAAAGUGUGCAACGCCGUGCCGAUGACUUAGAACGUAUGGUUGAUUCGCGCUCAAAAGAGAUUGAACAGUACAUAGAGAAAGUGAAAACUUUUGAAAAUACUAAAGAAACUGUUUAUGAGCUGCAAGCUAAACUUAAUACAUUCGAACGGGAAAAUGCCAGCCUUGCUAAAGAAGUGGCAAAAUUAAAAGAGAACCUCGAAGAGAAAUCAGUGUUGUUGGAUGGUCAGUGUGCAGUAGUUGAAAAUCAAACUAAAGAAAUAUUACGCUUAACAAAAUCUCUAGAAGAAGCUGAACUUACUCAGGUUCGACUUAAUGACUUGGAAGUGCAAAAUCAGGAACUGGUAUCCCAACGAGAUAUUGAUUUACAAACCAUUGCCACUCUACGCAAUGAUUUGGUCACUGGCACUCUGGCCACCAAUAAAGUGAGGCACAAUUUGGAAAAACUUGGCUUAAAUGUCGAUCCCACAGAUGAAAAAACUGAGUUGAAUGUAGAAACAGUUGUAGAAAAAUUGGUACGCAAUCCGGAAACAUUUAAAACCGUGCGUGAAAUUAUGCUCAAUGUUUCUAAGGAACAAUUAGAAAAUGGUAAUGCUAAAUCAGAUAUUUGUGUACUUUGUCAUCGGAAAGAAGUAUUUACCGUUGAAAAGAACAUAGAACUCUCUUCAGCUUCUGAAGUUUUUGAAAUAGCGGAGUUAACAAAACUUUCAGAAGCCAACACACAACUAAGUGCGCUAAAUGUGGCACUGCAAUCAACAUAUGACCAACUACAAGCCGAAAAUGCCCGCUUUAAAGUUGACGUUGCUACAUUAGGUUCCCAGAUAACCUCAUUAAAUACGCAACACGUUGCAUUACAAUUGGCCAAUUCUCAAUUGGCUGCUGACAAAGAUGUACUUUUGAAAGAAAAUGAACAGCUCAAAAAAGAGCAUAAAAACCUUCUACAGGAUCAAGUUACUUUGCAAUGUUUACAUGAGCAGCUAUCAUCGGAAUACGAAUCUCUUAACAAGGGCAAAGAACAACUCAAAGGAGUAGUACGGGACUUGCGUAAUGAGUCACGCGAACUUCGAGAACAUAUUGUUGUCUUAGAAACCCAAAUUGAUGAUUUGAAGCGCCAAAAUACAUCGAUGAAAUCUUGUUCCGAAGAUCUUGCCAUUCUUCGUACUGAACAUUCAAAGCUGACGGAUGAUUUUCGUAACUUGUUCGCAACCAGCGAACGUUUUAAGAAUGAAUACAAAAAUAUUCAAGAACAAUACAAAAUGAUACGUAUGGAAAAUGGUAAACUAAAACUACAAAACAACGAACUCACUGGUGAAUUGGGCAGUCGAAACGAUCAACUAAAAAUGCUAGAAAUACAGUAUGCGAAAUCAACACAGCGCUGUGAGAUGUUGAUGCAACAAAAUGGAGAUUUAGACACAGAACGAAAAACUUUAAUGGAAAAUGUUUCUCAUCUACUAAAGCAAUACCAUGAAUUAUUAACCCUAUCGCUAGAAGAUAAAAAACAUUUCCACGAAGAAGAGAAAAGUUACACAGAAUGUGUACAUAACUUAAAUCGCCAAAAAGAAAAGUUAGAGGAAAAGAUUAUGGAACUCUUUAAAAAAUCAGAAGCUGUUGUACCAAAAAAAAACCAUUUGCAAGUAAUUUGGUAAGACGUGUAAAAAAAGCCAGUUCAGAUUUGAUGAAUAAAGUUCCAAGUCGUAAUCGUCGUUCUUGGAUUGAUGACUCCCGAUUAACUCAAUCACAGUUUAUGAUUGGUUCCGAAUCAGGUGGCAAUGAUUCUGAUAAUAGUACCGAAGAACCACUAUCGAUUAACUCGGAUACUCAUUUGUUGCAGCGCAAUA